CAGUAAUUCAAAAACAUUGACUAGGCCAACUGAAAUAAUUAUUUUCUUGUAAAGUGAAGGUUAUAAUUUGAAGACGUCCAAAAGGGACAGUUAAAUGUCGUCUUCAUCCUAUUUAUAUAGCCAUGGAUACUGGUACAUCUUAAUUAAUGAAAUACACACUCAAAUAUGAUUUAGUUCUAUCAUUUGAUUGUAAGAAUGAGUCUGCAUGUUAUUGUUCGGAAUCACGGUGAAAUUUACAAAAUUUAUAGUGAGACCGUGAUUUUAUUGAAACUAUAAAUUGCUAAUACACUAUGAUUAUGUCAAAUUGACUGUCAAUCUAAAAUGUAUUUAGGAUUAUUUUCAUUAGCAUGUUGAACACUGUUUACACACCUUAAAAACACACUACAGCUAGGUUAAAACACACUACAGCUAGGUUAAAACACAGCUGCACCAGCCCCAUUCAACCAAGGUAAUUCUUGUUUCCUUAAUUUUUCUAUGCAAAUAUGUGCAGUGUACACUAGUACGAUUUUAAGGAAGCAAGAACUUGUAAAUAACUUUUAGGUAUGUUCAUUAAAUUGUACAAUAUGAUCCAACACAACUUUUUUAAAAAGUAAUACAUUAAAUAAUGCACCCCUAGUAGCCUAACAGUAAAAGGGUAUAUAUGUGUCCACAAAAUCAAAACUGUAAGCUGAUGAUAUUGACAGAAAGCCUAACAUAUUGGGAUUAUCUUUUUUCCACAGCACACAAACAAGAGAUAUCAGGACACCCAACCAACCCUUCCAAAUGUCUCCUGUUAUUAUUAUUUUUAA
rnacentral:lncRNA from 1 species